rnacentral:rRNA from 1 species
UUCGCCCUUAGAGUUUGAUCCUGGCUCAGAGCGAACGCUGGCGGCAGGCUUAACACAUGCAAGUCGAGCGGGCGUAGCAAUACGUCAGCGGCAGACGGGUGAGUAACGCGUGGGAACGUACCUUUUGGUUCGGAACAACACAGGGAAACUUGUGCUAAUACCGGAUAAGCCCUUACGGGGAAAGAUUUAUCGCCGAAAGAUCGGCCCGCGUCUGAUUAGCUAGUUGGUGAGGUAACGGCUCACCAAGGCGACCAUCAGUAGCUGGUCUGAGAGGAUGAUCCGCCACAUUGGGGACUGAAACACGGGCCAAACUCUUACGGGAGGCAGCAGUGGGGAAUAUUGGACAAUGGGGGCAACCCUGAUCCAGCCAUGCCGCGUGAGUGAUGAAGGCCCUAGGGUUGUAAAGCUCUUUUGUGCGGGAAGAUAAUGACGGUACCGCAAGAAUAAGCCCCGGCUAACUUCGUGUCAGCAGCCGCGGUAAUACGAAGGGGGCUAGCGUUGCUCGGAAUCACUGGGCGUAAAGGGUGCGUAGGCGGAUCUUUAAGUCAGAGGUGAAAGCCUGGAGCUCAACUCCAGAACUGCCUUUGAUACUGGGGAUCUUGAGUUCGGGAGAGGUGAGUGGAACUGCGAGUGUAGAGGUGAAAUUCGUAGAUAUUCGCAAGAACACCAGUGGCGAAGGCGGCUCACUGGCCCGAUACUGACGCUGAGGCACGAAAGCGUGGGGAGCAAACAGGAUUAGAUACCCUGGUAGUCCACGCCGUAA